rnacentral:rRNA from 1 species
GAUGAACGCUGGCGGCGUGCCUAAUACAUGCAAGUCGAGCGAACAGACGAGGAGCUUGCUCCUCUGACUUUAGCGGCGGACAGGUGAGUAACACGUGGAUAACCUACCUAUAAGACUGGGAUAACUUCGGGAAACCGGAGCUAAUACCGGAUAAUUUAUUGAACAGCAUGGUUCAAUAGUGAAAGACGGUUUUGCUGUCACUUAUAGAUGGAUCCGCUCCGCAUUAGCUAUUUGGUAAGGUAACGGCUUACCACGGCAACGAUGCGUAGCCGACCUGAGAGGGUGGUCGGCCACACUGGAACUGAGACACGGUCCAGACUCCGACGGGAGGCAGCAGUAGGGAAUCUUCCGCAAUGGGCGAAAGCCUGACGGAGCAACGCCGCGUGAGUGAUGAAGGUCUUCGGAUCGUAAAACUCUGUUAGUAGGGAAGAACAAAUGUGUAAGUAACUAUGCACGUCUUGACGGUACCUAAUCAGAAAGCCACGGCUAACUACGUG